rnacentral:lncRNA from 1 species
AUUUUUACCAUAACAUGAAUUGAAAACAUCUAAAUCAAUGAUAUCAUUUCAUUUAUUUUUCUAGUAUUUUAGGUUAAAAAGCAUUAAAAAACAUAUUGAAAACAUCUAAAUCAAUGAUAUCAUUUCAUUUAUUUUUCUAGUAUUUUAGGUUAAAAAGCAUUAAAAAACACAUAAAAAAGAAAUUAAAAUGUACUAAAAAACAUUAAAGAAA